rnacentral:rRNA from 1 species
GAUGAACGCUGGCGGCGUGCCUAAUACAUGCAAGUCGAGCGAACGGACGAGAAGCUUGCUUCUCUGAUGUUAGCGGCGGACGGGUGAGUAACACGUGGAUAACCUACCUAUAAGACUGGGAUAACUUCGGGAAACCGGAGCUAAUACCGGAUAAUAUUUUGAACCGCAUGGUUCAAAAGUGAAAGACGGUCUUGCUGUCACUUAUAGAUGGAUCCGCGCUGCAUUAGCUAGUUGGUAAGGUAACGGCUUACCAAGGCAACGAUGCAUAGCCGACCUGAGAGGGUGAUCGGCCACACUGGAACUGAGACACGGUCCAGACUCCUACGGGAGGCAGCAGUAGGGAAUCUUCCGCAAUGGGCGAAAGCCUGACGGAGCAACGCCGCGUGAGUGAUGAAGGUCUUCGGAUCGUAAAACUCUGUUAUUAGGGAAGAACACAUGUGUAAGUAACUGUGCACAUCUUGACGGUACCUAAUCAGAAAGCCACGGCUAACUACGUGCCAGCAGCCGCGGUAAUACGUAGGUGGCAAGCGUUAUCCGGAAUUAUUGGGCGUAAAGCGCGCGUAGGCGGUUUUUUAAGUCUGAUGUGAAAGCCCACGGCUCAACCGUGGAGGGUCAUUGGAAACUGGAAAACUUGAGUGCAGAAGAGGAAAGUGGAAUUCCAUGUGUAGCGGUGAAAUGCGCAGAGAUAUGGAGGAACACCAGUGGCGAAGGCGACUUUCUGGUCUGUAACUGACGCUGAUGUGCGAAAGCGUGGGGAUCAAACAGGAUUAGAUACCCUGGUAGUCCACGCCGUAAACGAUGAGUGCUAAGUGUUAGGGGGUUUCCGCCCCUUAGUGCUGCAGCUAACGCAUUAAGCACUCCGCCUGGGGAGUACGACCGCAAGGUUGAAACUCAAAGGAAUUGACGGGGACCCGCACAAGCGGUGGAGCAUGUGGUUUAAUUCGAAGCAACGCGAAGAACCUUACCAAAUCUUGACAUCCUUUGACAACUCUAGAGAUGGAGCCUUCCCCUUCGGGGGACAAAGUGACAGGUGGUGCAUGGUUGUCGUCAGCUCGUGUCGUGAGAUGUUGGGUUAAGUCCCGCAACGAGCGCAACCCUUAAGCUUAGUUGCCAUCAUUAAGUUGGGCACUCUAAGUUGACUGCCGGUGACAAACCGGAGGAAGGUGGGGAUGACGUCAAAUCAUCAUGCCCCUUAUGAUUUGGGCUACACACGUGCUACAAUGGACAAUACAAAGGGCAGCGAAACCGCGAGGUCAAGCAAAUCCCAUAAAGUUGUUCUCAGUUCGGAUUGUAGUCUGCAACUCGACUACAUGAAGCUGGAAUCGCUAGUAAUCGUAGAUCAGCAUGCUACGGUGAAUACGUUCCCGGGUCU